GACGAACGCUGGCGGCGUGCUUAACACAUGCAAGUCGAACGGUAAGGCCCUUCGGGGUACACGAGUUGCGAACGGGUGAGUAACACGUGGGUGAUCUGCCCUGCACUUCGGGAUAAGCCUGGGAAACUGGGUCUAAUACCGGAUAGGACUCCGGACUGCAUGGUCAGGGGUGGAAAGCUUUCGCGGGGUGGGAUGGGCGCGCGGGCUAUAAGCUUGUUGGUGGGGUGAUGGGCUACCAAGGCGACGACGGGUAGACGGCCUGAGAGGGUGACCGGCCACACUGGGAAUGAGAUACGGCCCAGACUCCUACGGGAGGGAGAAGUGGGGAAUAUUGCACAAUGUGCGCAAGCCUGAGGCAGCGACGCCGCGUGAGGGAUGACGGCCUUCGGGUUGUAAACCUCUUUCAGCAUCGACGAAGCGAAAGUGACGGUAGGUGCAGAAGAAGGACCGGCCAACUACGUGCCAGCCGCCGCCGUAA
rnacentral:rRNA from 1 species